rnacentral:rRNA from 1 species
GACGAACGCUGGCGGCGUGCUUAACACAUGCAAGUCGAACGAUGAAGAAAAGAAUCGAAGCUUCGGCAGAAAUUCAUUUCGGAUUAGUGGCAGACGGGUGAGUAACGCGUGAGCAACCUACCUCUUUCAAAGGGAUAGCCUCGGGAAACCGGGAUUAAUACCAUAUAACAUUGCGACGAAGCAUUUCGAUGCAAUCAAAGCUACGGCGGUAAGAGAUGGGCUCGCGUCCCAUUAACCGGAUGGUGAGGUAACGGCUCACCAUAGUGACGAUGGGUAACCGGCCUGAGAGGGUGAACGGUCACACUGGAACUGAGACACGGUCCAGACUCCUACGGGAGGCAGCAGUGGGGAAUAUUGCACAAUGGAGGGAACUCUGAUGCAGCGACGCCGCGUGAGUGAUGAAGGAAUUCGUUUCGUAAAACUCUGUUCUAUGGGAAGAAAAGGACUGUACCAUAGGAGAAAGCUCCGGCUAAAUACGUG